CGUCAUCCCAGCCCCAGGCUGAAACACAUUAUCGCCUUUCUCAAGUGGCCGAUCAAGGGACUCUGGGCUUAGGCGCGUGACCUGAUUAUUUUGUCACGAAUUGCGCCAUGCGCACGACCCUUCUUUACCAUUUCGGAUAGUGUCUGGAAUGCACGAACAAAACGCCGCUAUUCGGAUAUAACGAUGGAUUAUUUUGGACCAAACCAACAUUUGUUAUUGAAGUAGAAGUCCUGGGAGUGCAUUCUGACGAAGACAACAAAAGGUUCUGUUAUCUCAGGUCGUAAAUUCCUGGUGGAGACUCUCUCCCCCUGGCCAUGCAGAAAGAGAGACACAUAGAGAGAACAAAGGAUUUCACAUGGCGAACUCCUAAAUCCCCAAAAUGGGAAUUUGAUGCAAAAUGUCCACUUGUGAGAAGGUGGGAAUGGUCUGUGGACACUUAAGGGACGGGUAUGACGAG
rnacentral:lncRNA from 1 species